GACGUAGGGUGCGAGCGUUGUCCGGAUUUAUUGGGCGUAAAGAGCUCGUAGGCGGCUCGUCGCGUCAGCUGAUGAAAACCCGCAGCUUAACUGUGGGCUUGCAGCUGAUACGGGCGGGCGUAGAGUUCGGUAGGGGAGACUGGAAUUCCUGGUGUAGCGGUGGAAAUGACGCAGACUAUCAGGAAGAACACCCGUGGCGAAAGCGGCUCCUCUGGAAACGGGUACUGACGCUGAGACGCGAAAGCGUGGGGAGCGAACAGG
rnacentral:rRNA from 1 species